UUAAUUGAAGCCAAAAAGCGGCAUAUCACUGUUAAUGAUAUUAUUGAAAUACCUUUAGUUUCCAAUUAAG
rnacentral:tRNA from 1 species